UCAGUGUGUGACCUUUGAAUCAUCCCAUCCAGUCUACAUUGUUUUUUGUCUCAGUUGCUUGCAACAGCAAGCAGAGAAACCCAUGUCAAAAUGUAACCCCCGCAAGCUGCCUGCAACGGUGUUUAAACCUUUAGUAUGAAGGCAAGAGAGAUAUUAGAACCCAUUUGGUUUUUUUUUUUUUCCUUGUUCAGUCCGUUUGACCGAACAACAAGUGCUGUUUGUUAUUCGACAGCAUGGCGAUAAUACCACGAUUGCUAUUUUACUCGGUCUCUGUAACGUUCAAGGAGUUUGAAGACGCAGA
rnacentral:sRNA from 2 species